rnacentral:rRNA from 1 species
GAUGAACGCUGGCGGCGUGCCUAAUACAUGCAAGUCGAGCGAAGCUGGGACGUGUGAGUAACACUUGUAUAACCUCCUAUAAGACUGGGCUCACUUCGGGAAACCGGAGCUAAACCGGUUCCUUAUAUAUGGAUCCGCGCUGCAUUAGCUAGUUGGUAAGGUAACGGCUUACCAAGGCAACGAUGCAUAGCCGACCUGCGAGGAUGAUCGGCAACACUGGAACUGAGACACGGUCCAGACUCAUACGGGAGGCAGCAGUAGGGAAUCUUCCGCAAUGGGCGAAAGCCUGACGGAGCAACGCCGCGUGAGUGAUGAAGGUCUUCGGAUCGUAAAACUCUGUUAUUAGGGAAGCGGUACCUAAUCAGAAAGCCACGGCUAACUACGUGCCAGCAGCCGCGGUAAUAC